GCUCUGGGCAGUACGAUUCCACUUUAGGAAUUUAAGUAGGGGAGAACAUAAUCAGAUUGGCAUUUUAGCAAUAUCCCUUCAACCAAAAUGUGGAAAUUGGACUGAGAGAGAAUGGAGGCAGGGAAGCCCCAUGGGAAGCUUGUGAGAAAGUGGGGACAGGAGCCAAGGCCAUGGGAGCUGGGGUGGAAAGGAUAAGACCCGACAGCACACGGCGGUUGUGUAGCUGUAGAGAGGGGAGCAGAGUCGUCACAUGGCGCCCAGGUUUCGACUGGGACAGUAACUGGGUAGGCAGUGGUCAAGAUGGGAAAUCAGUGGAGGGUCAGAACUGGAGACAGAAUGAGAUCCUUUGGGAAACAAUGAGUCUGAGCUAUCAGCGGGCAGAUGUGGGAAUGGAUGUGAAAAUUUGAGGUCCCCCUUACGGGGGUGCUACUGGACAUCAUAGGAAUAAGUGAGUCACCCAGACAGAGGGUGAAGAGUCAGAAGGGAAGACAACGACGCUGUCAACCUUCAAGGCUCCAGAGAGAGACAAGGAGAUGAGGAGACAAGCAGACGAACAGCGGAACAAUGCAGCAGAGAAAGAGAGAAGAGAAGGAACGUCUGAACGUCGAGAGGAGUUCGGCUGCUGGACGGCCAAACUCCAGGGGAAGAUCAUCUUCCCACUCCAUUCCCCCUCCAGCUCCCCAUCCAUCCCACUGAGAGCCACUUCCACCACUCAAUAAAAGCCCCACAUUUAUCCUUCAAGUCCAUGUGUGAUCCAAUUCUUCUGGGAUGCUAAACAAGAACCUGGGAUACAGAAAGCUGUCACACUGGCCCUCUGCCCUUGCAGAAAGGCAGAGGGGCCCUGAGCUGGUUGAUACUUAAGCUGUCUGUGGAUGGCAGAACUAAAAGAGCAUUGG
rnacentral:lncRNA from 1 species